rnacentral:rRNA from 1 species
UGGGGAAUAUUGGGCAAUGGGCGCAAGCCUGACCCAGCAACGCCGCGUGAAGGAAGAAGGCUUUCGGGUUGUAAACUUCUUUUAAGAGGGAAGAGUAGAAGACGGUACCUCUUGAAUAAGCCACGGCUAACCUACGUGCCAGCAGCCG